ensembl:lncRNA
UGACAGCAUGUGAUAGUAACCUUGAUUCCUAAAAGGCAUUUCUGUGUUGUUAACGUGGUGGAUUCAUGGGCAGAAGCUUCCAGACCAGGCCCACAGAUGCUCUGCGUUAUUUUGAGCACUUGUAACACUCUUUGUGAUGAACCCCCAACUCUGUGUUUGUUUAUGACGGUGCUGAGUAGUUGCAUGGGCCUGCCUAGCAUGACUGCAGCUCUUGACCAGAGGAUUUUAUGGGGAUGGCAGGAGGAAACCUCCAGCACUACAGGAGAUGUACGCUUCUUAUUUUCCGUCUGCUCUUUGUACUAGUUUCAUGCUGAAGUUGGAAGUGGAAGAUUUAAUAAGUGGCAGAAAUGGAAAGUGGUAGUGAAGAAAAUGGUAUUUUUUUGUGACUACUGUCAUCUUGACUAAAUUACUGUCAUCUUUGGAAUGCUUCCUGAGAUCUUCAGCAACAGAUGAUGAAGUUCAGAUGGGGAGGCUUUUUUUGUGGAAGAGGUACAUCAGUGAAUCCAUUUAGUUGCACCCUGAUUUUUGUCUUACAAGAAGACACAUCAUCAGAGAAGCUUAAAGGUGUCAACUUGAAACCUCUAAAGGAAUUGCAACAUUGCUCCUAACCCCUCGGCACAGCACCCAGUGUUUCCUUACCCAUCCCUUCCCCUUGAUUCCUCCAG